rnacentral:rRNA from 1 species
UAAUGCAGUCGAGCGAAUGGAUUAAGAGCUUGCUCUUAUGAAGUUAGCGGCGGACGGGUGAGUAACACGUGGGUAACCUGCCCAUAAGACUGGGAUAACUCCGGGAAACCGGGGCUAAUACCGGAUAACAUUUUGAACCGCAUGGUUCGAAAUUGAAAGGCGGCUUCGGCUGUCACUUAUGGAUGGACCCGCGUCGCAUUAGCUAGUUGGUGAGGUAACGGCUCACCAAGGCAACGAUGCGUAGCCGACCUGAGAGGGUGAUCGGCCACACUGGGACUGAGACACGGCCCAGACUCCUACGGGAGGCAGCAGUAGGGAAUCUUCCGCAAUGGACGAAAGUCUGACGGAGCAACGCCGCGUGAGUGAUGAAGGCUUUCGGGUCGUAAAACUCUGUUGUUAGGGAAGAACAAGUGCUAGUUGAAUAAGCUGGCACCUUGACGGUACCUAACCAGAAAGCCACGGCUAACUACGUGCCAGCAGCCGCGGUAAUACGUAGGUGGCAAGCGUUAUCCGGAAUUAUUGGGCGUAAAGCGCGCGCAGGUGGUUUCUUAAGUCUGAUGUGAAAGCCCACGGCUCAACCGUGGAGGGUCAUUGGAAACUGGGAGACUUGAGUGCAGAAGAGGAAAGUGGAAUUCCAUGUGUAGCGGUGAAAUGCGUAGAGAUAUGGAGGAACACCAGUGGCGAAGGCGACUUUCUGGUCUGUAACUGACACUGAGGCGCGAA